AUUGAACGCUGGCGGCAGGCCUAACACAUGCAAGUCGAAUGGCAACAGGAAACAGCUUGCUGUUUCGCUGAGGAGUGGGGGACGGGUGAGUAAUGUCUGGGAAACUGCCUGAUGGAGGGGGAUAACUACUGGAAACGGUAGCUAAUACCGCACAACGUCGCAAGACCAAAGAGGGGGACCUUCGGGCCUCUUGCCAUCAGAUGUGCCCAGAUGGGAUUAGCUAGUAGGUGGGGUAACGGCUCACCUAGGCGACGAUCCCUAGCUGGUCUGAGAGGGUGACCAGCCACACUGGAACUGAGGCACGGUCCAGACUCCUACGGUAGGCCGCAGUGGGGAAUAUUGCACGAUGGGCGCAAGCCUGAUGCAGCCCUGCCGCGUGUAUGAAGAAGGCCUUCGGGUUGUAAAAUACUUUCAGCGGGGAGGAAGGGAGUAAAGUUAAUACCUUUGCUUAUUGACGUUACCCGCAGAAGAAGCACCGGCUAACUCCGUG
rnacentral:rRNA from 1 species